rnacentral:rRNA from 1 species
AUUGAACGCUGGCGGCAGGCCUAACACAUGCAAGUCGAACGAGUGGCGGACGGGUGAGUAAUGUCUGGGAAACUGCCUGAUGGAGGGGGAUAACUACUGGAAACGGUAGCUAAAACCGAAAACCUCAGGAUGUGCCCAAAGGGGAUUAGCUAGUUGGUGGGGUAACGGCUACCCAAGGCGACGAUCCCUAGCUGGUCUGAGAGGAUGACCAGCCACACUGGAACUGAGACACGGUCCAGACUCCUACGGGAGGCAGCAGUGGGGAAUAUUGCACAAUGGGCGCAAGCCUGAUGCAGCCAUGCCGCGUGUAUGAAGAAGGCCUUCGGGUUGUAAAGUACUUUCAGCGGGGAGGCGUUACCCGCAGAAGAAGCACCGGCUAACUCCGUGCCAGCAGCCGCGGUAAUAC